CAAAAACUGGCUAAAUGACACUCUCUGUUUCAAUUGUGCAGAUGGAGUAACAGGGGCCAAAGAUGUCAUUCUGACAGGACACCAACUAAAAGGCAAAAAAGACUGCUGGCUACUCCUAUAAGCUGAGUCUGGGUCUGAUUUGAAGCUCACUGAAAAUGAAGGCAGAAAUCAUCACACAUUCAUUUGACUCCAUGAAAAAGUAAAGGCCUGACUUCCCCCACUCUACUGAAUCAGCUCCCUCCAUGCCUUCAGUGAAAGAAGAGUUUAGUUCUUUACUUCCGCUGUGAUCCAAACUCCCUUUGACUAUGAAAUAACGAUGUUUCUAGUUCACUUGGGC